rnacentral:tRNA from 1 species
GUUCAGGAUCCGUGGCUCAGUGGAAGAGCAUCUGCCUUAUGGGCAGAAGUUCUCAGGUUCAGUCUCAAGUGUCUGCCUGAACA